rnacentral:tRNA from 5 species
GUGGUAGUAGCUCAAUUGGCAGAGCAUCGGGUUGUGGUCCCGACGGUUGUGGGUUCAAGUCCCAUCUACCACCCCA